CGAUAAUUCCUGAAAGCGUGGAACAAUUGAAAGUAGUUUUGUAUUUACUGUUAUUCUUAAUUCUGUUGAUCACAUUUUCUGUUUUUGAAUUUUGUGGUGUUCCUGAAUUCAUUCUAAGUGCAUCAAACGAAAAUCCAUAAAAUAAGUCUUUUAGUUUCAAAAGAGAUAUAUGUUUAAGAACCUGGCUAAAGCAUAUAAAAUCGUAUGUAUUGUUAAUUAUAACUGCUUUCAGAAAUAAAUUACGGAAAAUUCACAGGUGAGAUUUUAAAGUAUUUCAUAAAAAUUCAACACCUGAAAUGUUUUCUUAUGUUUACAGAUGCCUGCAAUGUUUACAGAUGUUAUUGAUGCCUACAAACCAAUUAUUAAAUUCUCGUAAAACAAUAUUAAGCUGAAACAAUGAAUUUUCCCUACACAUCCCACACCGUUGCUUAUAAGUAAACCAUUUUUAUUUUCAAAUUUUAAAAUUAUUUAAAUUUUCUUUGUUUUUCUGCUUUUAGUUUUUUUUUAUUUAAUCUGCCAAAACAAAAAUAUUGUUUACCUAUCGUGUCUGCGCACGUGUUAAUCGUAACUGCCGUUGUAAAAUUAUACACUCUUAAUGUCUCUUUAAUUGAUGUCAGUAAAACUUUUCAAUUCCGUAUCGCAUUAUGUGACCCGCCUCUCGGCUACAUACAUCCCUUGGACCCAAGGGAGGGUCUUGCAAUAUCAGUCUUUCCCCUCCCUCAAACAAUUUGUAUCUACCUCAUUUUAAACGGCUCUUUUAUUAAUAACCUAAACGUUGUCCCCAUUCACUACACCUCAUUUCUCUCACAUUUCUUAAAUAAGCUUCGUAUAUAUCUUAUUACGACAGAGACUUUGGAAACGUACUUGAAUGGGAACUUGGAAACUUGUAACAUCGCCAACAGCACAGAUGCCUACAAACCAGUUAUUAAGUUCUCGUAAAAAAAUAUUUAGCUGAAACUAUGAAUUUUCCCUACACAUCCC
rnacentral:lncRNA from 1 species